GCCGGGAUGGUCUAAUCGGUUAAGGCGUCGCCCCGGACAGGCGAACGUUGCGGGCUCAAUCCCCGCUCCUGGCC
rnacentral:tRNA from 1 species